rnacentral:lncRNA from 1 species
GCGGUGGAGAACAGCAGGGGACCCCACCCCUCAGGGGCCGAGCCCCCUCAGAAUUUGCUUUUGCGUAAUCGCCCCUUCUCUUGCUUAAAUUUGCUAGUGGCACUUGAGAGCAUUCGGAUGGAUUCUACAGAUACAUAUCACUGCCGGGAACAGGUUAUUUGGAGUAAAAAGACCUCCUUUUACUGAGAAGAGACGUUCGAGACAGGGCAAAAAUUCCGGGAUUUCGAGGAGCAAAGCCUUCUCCUAGACAUUGUCUCCCUUACCUGGAAAGUCACAGCUCAUAGGAACCUCUGGGCCUUGUCACCGGAUGAUGGGCAGCAGCCGCUCCACCGUGUGCUUCUCCCUAUAGCUUCCCCAUAAACAGAAAGACCGUCGCGCCACCAUUCUGUAUUGAUUACCAAGCCAUGAUGUUUGAUCAGACUUGAAGUCAGGUAAGAUGAGAAACCACUCAAACACUCUGCAAGGAUUUUUUUAUGAGAAUUAGGGUGCAUCCUUGAGACCAGUCCAAGGGCCUGGACGUCACCCUUCUCCUCCAGACCUCAUGUGUGCUCCCCGCCUCCGGCACCCCCCCCCACCUCCAGUUCCCUCCCCUGCCUGAAAGCACCUCUUUCAGGAAGCAGCAAGAGUGCCUUCUCUCCCCAGCUGGGAAACGCUCCCCCAGGAGAAGGUGUGGCCUCAUCAAGAAGAAGAAACCCGGGCACAGAAAGAUUUAAGGAUUUGCCCAUGUCCCCUGGCAAAGAGGGCAGGUCAGCAUCCACUCCCUCACAGUUAGGGGUGGAGCCUGCACUUUUAACGCCACCCAAGUGCGGCCCUCUUGCCCCCUCUGCCUGCCCUAAGCCACCAUUAACCAGGUGGCCCCAGGAGAAGGGAGGGACUGGAGAUUUGCUUUAUCCCUGAGGUACAAAUUAGGCAGCGAUUCUGGGGCGUAAAGAAAGAAAAGUGAGCCUGUUAUCUUCCCGAAUGUGGAGAGAGCUUUGCAGAGUUCUGCUGCUGCCAGAAUGGUUCAUAUCUGGGUAGGGACCAGAGCAGGGCCAUCCCCAGUCUGUCUCCGCCUGUUUGCAAGCAAUUGAAAGCCACGGAACCUUAUGAUCCUGCACCCUCAUCACAGCGUCCACGCCACAAGUGUGCCACUGUGUUAGUUGCUGAAUUAUUCUCUCAGGAGAGGGUAGUCUGGUGACUAAGUCCUGGCCCUUUAAAUUUUCCUCUUUAACUCUUCAGCUGGAAGAAAGCUCAGUGCAUCCAUCUGUAAUUCACUCUACUAGGCACUGGCUCUCCGCUGCUCUGGACACCUGAGCAAGAAUUGUCCCACUCUUGUGAGUGACCAGGAGUGUCCAUGGGACUCGUUAUUCAGCCCCACGGGAUGUUUGGUAAUUGGGUCUUAUCCUUCUCUCACACAGAAGGCAUAUCACUGAUGUAACAUUUUUAUGACAUUUAUUUUAGAAACAUGCGAAUUUCUUUCGCUAUAUUUUAUGUAAUUCGGAUGACAGAAAAAGCAUAUACUUAUUCUGCUCUAAUAUAAAUAUCCACGGGCCAAUAAUCUGGGGAAUUUCACAUCAGAAUAGAGAAACAAAAUAAAGAAGUGAGCCUGCUAAGUAUAUUAGCAGAGUUAUGCAUAACUGGAAAGGGGGAAAGGUACCUCCAGGUAUUUAUAAACUUUUAAAACAUUAUUUCCCAGAAGAGCCCUUACCGCUGGCUUCUCUUUUACACAGAGAAAAACAGUGUUUAUGCGGGAGCCUUCAGGGUUCCUUUUCUCUGCUCACCGCUGCAGGGGGGCAUCGCAACAUUAAAAUAUCUAUGUGUCCCAUUGAAAGACCCCAAAUAUAUUCUUUCCUCCUCCUACCACAGCUGUGAAUGCGGCUCAGGAAACUGGGAAUUGCCGCUUCCCCCACUGUCAUUAGUCUGCACACUUCAACCUUCCUGAGGUUUUCCAUGCUCGUUAUAGAUGCCUUGCUUCCAUUUCCCACGCAGUGAAAUCAAGCCGCACACCCCAAAGGGCCGUGACCACAGCUCUCCGGUACUCAGCAUCCUGGGCGUUCAUUCCGCCAGCAAUCCCACCUGCGUCGGUGAAAUCGCUGAAGGCAGCGCUAAUGAAUGUCUCCUUGCUUGUCCCGAACUCUCCUCGCAGGAUAUCUGGCCUCGGAAUCGACUUUCUGGUCUUGUACUUUUUUCGCAAUCCAAAUUAGCUUAAUGCACGACAGCGAUCUCAGACUAGAGGUAGCACUCAGACGGUGGGGAGAAAUCAAAUACCGAAUCAAUUCGGGGAAAAAAAAUAGAAAUAGCGCAUGACAUUUAAUUCCAGCACCUUUGGGGCUGGAAAGGCAAAGAGGGAAGCAGCAGCCCUUCACUGCGGGAUGGAAGUAUGUGUACGGACGGCCUCAUCCGUAGUUGCUGGAUGUUCCGUUCCCUGGGUUGUAACCAAAUAAUGUCAUUGGCAAAAUGCGAAGUGUUCAUUUAUUGACUGCAUGGGGGGCAAAGAAUAUCAUAAAGGAACAAUUUAAAUCAUUACCUCAAAUUUAUCUCCAGUCUUUAAGUCUGUCUUGCUCUCAUGUGUAUAUUAUUUUAAAUUAUUUAUUAGUUUAAAUAAAGUAGCACAUACCACUUGGGUUCAGAA